UACGUAGGGGGCAAGCGUUGUCCGGAUUUAUUGGGCGUAAAGAGCGUGUAGGCGGCUUGGUAGGUCUCGCGUCAAAACCUGAGGCUCAACCUCAGUUCGCGUGGGAAACCACCUAGCUAGAGUCCGGAAGAGGAGAACGGAAUUCCCAGUGUAGCGGUGAAAUGCGCAGAUAUUGGGAAGAACACCAGUGGCGAAGGCGGUUCUCUGGGACGGUACUGACGCUGAGACGCGAGAGCGUGGGGAGCGAACAGG
rnacentral:rRNA from 1 species